AUUGAACGCUGGCGGCAUGCUUUACACAUGCAAGUCGAACGGCAGCACGGGUGCUUGCACCUGGUGGCGAGUGGCGGACGGGUGAGUAAUGCAUCGGAACGUGUCCUGAAGUGGGGGAUAACGCAUCGAAAGAUGUGCUAAUACCGCAUAUUCUCUGAGGAGGAAAGUAGGGGAUCGAAAGACCUUAUGCUUUUUGGAGCGGCCGAUGUCUGAUUAGCUAGUUGGUAGGGUAAUGGCUUACCAAGGCGACGAUCAGUAGUUGGUCUGAGAGGACGACCAGCCACACUGGGACUGAGACACGGCCCAGACUCCUACGGGAGGCAGCAGUGGGGAAUUUUGGACAAUGGGCGCAAGCCUGAUCCAGCAAUGCCGCGUGAGUGAAGAAGGGCCUUCGGGUUGGUUAAAGG
rnacentral:rRNA from 1 species